rnacentral:rRNA from 1 species
UACAGAGGUCCCGAGCGUUGUUCGGAUUCACUGGGCGUAAAGGGUGCGUAGGUGGCAGGGUAAGUCGGAUGUGAAAUCUCCGAGCUCAACUCGGAAACUGCAUUGGAAACUACCCAGCUAGGAGGGUUGGAGGGGGGACUGGAAUACUUGGUGUAGCAGUGAAAUGCGUAGAUAUCAAGUGGAACACCAAUAGCGAAGGCAGCUCGCUGGGACGGUACUGACGCUAAGGCGCGAAAGCGUGGGGAGCGAACAGG